rfam:Archaeon Odin LCB_4 OdinLCB4_contig000007, whole genome shotgun sequence.
CAGCAACGGGAGGCCCGGGGAGUUUGCCCUGCCCUGUAACUCGAAAUGGGCAUUAUGCGAGGGGCAGUAACCAUUAAGGCGGUGUCGGCUCUUAAGGCUAAGACUGCUUAUUCAACUAUGAAACCCCGUCCUACCGGGCGUGUGGUGGAUAAGCCUCUUCUGUAGGGAAGAGUGCUUUAUUCUUUAUAGGGUUAACCGGCUAGGCCUGGGAAGGAGCAACCUAAACCCUAACACACUGCGUUGGUAGGGUGCGGGGUUGAGCUUGAAUAAGCAGCCCCUGGCCUUUAGAGGCGGCAUCCACUUAAUGGGACGUUGCUG